rnacentral:rRNA from 1 species
UACGUAGGUGGCAAGCGUUGUCCGGAUUUACUGGGCGUAAAGAGCGCGCAGGCGGUCGUUCAAGUCGCGUGUGAAAGCCCCCGGCUCAACUGGGGAGGGUCACGCGAUACUGAUCGACUCGAAGGCAGGAGAGGGUAGUGGAAUUCCCGGUGUAGUGGUGAAAUGCGUAGAUAUCGGGAGGAACACCAGAGGCGAAGGCGGCCACCUGGACGAACACUGACGCUGAAGCACGAAAGCGUGGGGAGCAAACAGG